rnacentral:misc_RNA from 1 species
UCUCCGUUGAUGAACCAGCGGAGGGGUCAUUAUCGAGUUUAUAACUCCCAAACCCUAUGUGAACUUACCACUUGUUGCUUCGGCGCGCGCUUCGGUGCCGCCGAGGACACUUAAACUCUUUGUUUUUAUAAGCAUUUCUGAGUGGCCGAAAGGCAAAAUACAAAUGAAUCAAAACUUUCAACAACGGAUCUCUUGGUUCUG